AUUGAACGCUGGCGGCAUGCCUUACACAUGCAAGUCGAACGGCAGCACGGGGGCAACCCUGGUGGCGAGUGGCGAACGGGUGAGUAACAUAUCGGAACAUACCCUAGAGUGGGGAUAACGUAGCGAAAGUUACGCUAAUACCGCAUACGAUCUAAGGAUGAAAGUGGGGGAUCUUCGGACCUCAUGCUCAUGGAGUGGCCGAUAUCUGAUUAGCUAGUUGGUGAGGUAAAGGCUCACCAAGGCGACGAUCAGUAGCUGGUUUGAGAGAACGACCAGCCACACUGGAACUGGGACACGGUCCAGACUCCUACGGGAGGCAGCAGUGGGGAAUUUUGGACAAUGGGGGCAAGCCUGAUCCAGCAAUGCCGCGUGAGUGAAGAAGGCC
rnacentral:rRNA from 1 species